AGUGAACGCUGGCGGUAGGCCUAACACAUGCAAGUCGAACGGCAGCACAGAGGAGCUUGCUCCUUGGGUGGCGAGUGGCGGACGGGUGAGGAAUACAUCGGAAUCUACUCUGUCGUGGGGGAUAACGUAGGGAAACUUACGCUAAUACCGCAUACGACCUACGGGUGAAAGCAGGGGACCUUCGGGCCUUGCGCGAUUGAAUGAGCCGAUGUCGGAUUAGCUAGUUGGCGGGGUAAAGGCCCACCAAGGCGACGAUCCGUAGCUGGUCUGAGAGGAUGAUCAGCCACACUGGAACUGAGACACGGUCCAGACUCCUACGGGAGGCAGCAGUGGGGAAUAUUGGACAAUGGGCGAAAGCCUGAUCCAGCCAUACCGCGUGGGUGAAGAAGGCCUUCGGGUUGUAAAGCCCUUUUGUUGGGAAAGAAAUCCAGCUGGCUAAUACCCGGUUUGGAUGACGGUACCCAAAGAAUAAGCACCGGCUAACUUCGUGCCAGCCGCCGCAGUAA
rnacentral:rRNA from 1 species